GCCAGUGUGGUGUAGUGGGUUGAGUGUUGAACUUUGACUCCAGAGACCAGGGUUCCAGUCCCCGCUCAGCCA